UCUGCGCGAGGUUGGUGGCACGCCGAGGAGCCCGCAAGAGGAGUUCAGAAUCUUAUCUUUCCGAUGAAUUCUGGCGAUACGCCAGAAGCAAGUGGGGCAAUAGCCAAGCGUGUUCGCACAUCCCGGAGAAGUACCCCAUUUUUUACACCGAGCAAACAGCGAACUGUGGUAUUUACAGAGGAAGCGUUAGAAUUUCAAUAAUCGCGCAUUCCGACUGCACGGGCGAGGCACUGGGCUGGCUACAUUUUAAGGAAUCUGCUGUCCGCCCCCUGGGGGCUAAAAGAGCAUCUAAUAGGUUUGCUGCAGCUGAGAGCUCCAGACCAGCAGAACUCAGGACCAACAGAGCUCCAGACCAGCAGAGCUCCAGACCAGCAGAGCUCCAGACCAGCGCUGGACCAGCAGAUCUCAGGACCAGCAGAGCUCCAGACCAGCAGAACUCAGGACCAACAGAGCUCCAGACCAGCAGAACUCCAGACCAGCGCUGGACCAGCAGAUCUCAGGACCAGCAGAGCUCCAGACCAGCAGAGCUCCAGACCAGUAGAGCUCCGGACCAGCAGAGCUCCAGACCAGCGCUGGACCAGCAGAUCUCAGGACCAGCAGAGCUCCAGACCAGCAAAGAUCCAAACCAGCAGAGCUCAGGACCAGCAGAACGCAAGACCAGCAGCAUGGCCUCCGGUGCUGCAUCUGCCCCAGCAAAGGGCAGCAACAUUGUCAGCUAUGGUUCUGGUUCACCUUUACAGUGCAGCGCACAAAAAAGGGUUAGGGUUAGGGUUAGAGUGUUUUGUCUUCCCUGCUGGGAAGACAAAACACUCAAGUAGUGGCAAGACAUUCUUUAAUAAAUUAAGGAAUUGAUUAGGAAUUGAAAAUAAUUAUAAAUAAUAUGUGUUCUUCUCAAAAUAUUGAGUUUUUGUAGGCAUAGCUUUGGCCCAGAUUAGUCUUGAACCUUGAAGACACAACUUGUAAAUUUCACAAUGAAUCAAAAGUGCUGUUUCAGGAAACGUUAAUGAAGAGCGCUCUCUUUAAAUGAACAGCAUUCUCUUUAAAUGACUGCACACUCAGGGUGUGCAUCAUUGCGCACUCUCUGGCUAUGCCGUGUCGCGGUGGCAUACGCGGGUGAUCGAGUGCCAGUGUUGGGCUGGUCUUUGGUUAAAGUGUUAGUCGGGUCAUAAUGGCUCAGCGGCAGGUGCGUGAGUGUGUGGUGUGCCUAACAGGUUUCCCAUUACGGUAAAUUAGUCCGUGCUGGAGGCAGAUGAGUCAUUUGCCUGGAUAAUCAGCUCCUCGCUGGUGCUGAAAAGGUGAGGCAGGAUCUCUGAGCUAACCUUACCUACCUUUUUAAAAAAUUAAUAAAUGACUAAAUAAAUUUGUCGGCAAAUGUGGCGCUGAGCAUGUCCACUUUCCACCCCAAUUAGCAACGGCCAGUCAUCUGCAAUCACAGCCGUGUUCAGUUUACCCACGAACCCUAACUGACAUUUUGGGAAAGUGCAGACGUCCCCGCGUCCCUCCUCCGAAACGUGUGGUGCGGCAAGUCGCACUCUUUCCACACACUGCAGACAACAGCAAAGCUCGCACAGAGCGGAGUCGGGGGAAGACCUUCCAUACGUGGCUUUAGAAUGCAGCUGUGGACUGGCUGUUCCAAAUUAGGGUGGCAAGUGGAUACGCUCAGCCCCACAUUCACCGCCAAAUUUAUUUUUU